rnacentral:misc_RNA from 1 species
GAUGAAGAACGUAGCGAAAUGCGAUAAGUAGUGUGAAUUGCAGAAUUCAGUGAAUCAUCGAAUCUUUGAACGCACAUUGCGCCCUUUGGUAUUCCAAAGGGCAUGCCUGUUCGAGCGUCAUUUGUACCCUCAAGCUUUGCUUGGUGUUGGGCGUCUUGUCUCUAGCUUUGCUGGAGACUCGCCUUAAAGUAAUUGGCAGCCGGCCUACUGGUUUCGGAGCGCAGCACAAGUCGCACUCUCUAUCAGCAAAGGUCUAGCAUCCAUUAAGCCUUUUUUUCAACUUUUGACCUCGGAUCAGGUAGGGAUACCCGCUGAACUUAAGCAUAUCAAUAGCGGAGGA